GACGUAGGAUGCGAGCGUUAUUCGGAUUUAUUGGGCGUAAAGCGUGCGUAGGCGGCUGGUUAAGUCUGGUGUUAAAGCUAGGGGCUCAACCCCUGUGGUGCACUGGAAACUGGGCAGCUUGAGUGCGGUAGGGGAAGGUGGAAUUCCGAGUGUAGCGGUGAAAUGCGUAGAUAUUCGGAAGAACACCGGUGGCGAAGGCGACCUUCUGGGCCGCAACUGACGCUGAGGAGCGAAAGCAUGGGGAGCGAACAGG
rnacentral:rRNA from 1 species